rnacentral:rRNA from 1 species
CUGUGCACUUGUUUGGGAUAGUAACUCUCGCAAGAGAGCGAACUCCUAUUCACUUAUAAACACAAAGUCUAUGAAUGUAUUAAAUUUUAUAACAAAAUAAAACUUUCAACAACGGAUCUCUUGGCUCUCGCAUCGAUGAAGAACGCAGCGAAAUGCGAUAAGUAAUGUGAAUUGCAGAAUUCAGUGAAUCAUCGAAUCUUUGAACGCACCUUGCGCUCCAUGGUAUUCCGUGGAGCAUGCCUGUUUGAGUGUCAUGAAUACUUCAACCCUCCUCUUUCUUAAUGAUUGAAGAGGUGUUUGGUUUCUGAGCGCUGCUGGCCUUUACGGUCUAGCUCGUUCGUAAUGCAUUAGCAUCCGCAAUCGAACUUCGGAUUGACUUGGCGUAAUAGACUAUUCGCUGAGGAAUUCUAGUCUUCGGAUUAGAGCCGGGUUGGGUUAAAGGAAGCUUCUAAUCAGAAUGUCUACAUUUUAAGAUUAGAU